rnacentral:rRNA from 1 species
GCAAGUCGAGGGGCAGCAUUUCUAGCUUGCUAGAAGAUGGCGACCGGCGCACGGGUGCGUAACGCGUAUGCAACCUACCUCUUACUGGAGGAUAGCCCGAAGAAAUUCGGAUUAAUACUCCAUAGUGUUAUUGAAUCGCAUGAUUUAAUAACUAAAGGUUACGGUAAGAGAUGGGCAUGCGUCCCAUUAGCUAGAUGGUAAGGUAACGGCUUACCAUGGCUACGAUAGAUAGGGGUCCUGAGAGGGAGAUC